rnacentral:lncRNA from 1 species
AAAUCUAUAUCUAAAUCCAAAUUUAAAUCUAAAUCUAAAAUAAAAAUAGAAACAAAAACAAAAACAAAAACAAAAUAAAUAAAAACAAAUAAAGAAAUAAAAUAAAAAAACUAAACCUAACAUAUUUUACACAAAUAUUGCCUUGUUGAAAUUUGCAAUCCCCUACAAUGGCGUCAAAAACUUGAUGACUUCUUGGCAAGUGUUC